rnacentral:rRNA from 1 species
UACAGAGGUCCCAAGCGUUGUUCGGAUUCAUUGGGCGUAAAGCGUGCGCAGGCGGUUAUGUAAGACAGGUGUGAAAUCCCCGGGCUUAACCUGGGAACUGCAUUUGUGACUGCAUAGCUAGAGUACGGUAGAGGGGGAUGGAAUUCCGCGUGUAGCAGUGAAAUGCGUAGAUAUGCGGAGGAACACCGAUGGCGAAGGCAAUCCCCUGGACCUGUACUGACGCUCAUGCACGAAAGCGUGGGGAGCAAACAGG